rnacentral:rRNA from 1 species
UACGUAGGGGGCAAGCGUUGUCCGGAUUCAUUGGGCGUAAAGAGCGUGUAGGCGGCCAGGUAGGUCGGUUGUGAAAACUGGAGGCUCAACCUUCAGAGGUCGACCGAAACCAUCUGGCUAGAGUCCGGGAGAGGAGAGUGGAAUUCCUGGUGUAGCGGUGAAAUGCGCAGAUAUCAGGAAGAACACCCGUGGCGAAAAGCGGCUCUCUGGAACGGUACUGACGCUGAGACGCGAAAAGCGUGGGGAGCGAACAGG